rnacentral:lncRNA from 1 species
GCCUUCACCUCUUGAGCUCAAGUUAUCCUCCUGCCUCAGCCUCCCAAAGUGUUGGGAUUACAGGCGGGAGCCGCCAUGCCCCAGCCUAUUGAUAUUCUUGUUGAGGUUCUCAGACAUAUCUGCAUGGCCUCACACAUGGAGGAAAGAGACCCACAGAGGCAAAAACAAGACAUGGGGUAAAAAUAGACUGGAAGGAAACACACCGAAUGAUAGUGGUUUUUUCUGGGUGUUGAGAUUACCGAGCUUAUUUUUAAAUUUCUUAGAUCCUUCAGGUGUUCUACAACGUAAAAUGCAGACAGGGUGGGGACGUUGGUUGGAGUCAUGUUUUCCCUAAUGUUCUUACUGGUUCUAAAAUCUUCAAGCUAUGCUCUCACCCAAGGCUUCACUUAUUAUUAUUUUAACACUGUGGAUUCAUAAAGAAUGGAAGCCCACACAAGUCCAGGGAAGGAAGGAAAGGCAGACAGAGGCUUAUUUUCAGGCCUGGGCAGUUGCACAGGGUCCCUUGCUUAGAAGGGCCUCAUGCUUGGUUUCGUGUUCUGUGGUCGCUGUCCUGAAAUUCUUACUGAUUUUUGAACAAGGGAUCCUGUAUUUUCAUUUUGCACUGUGCCCUGAAAAUCAUGCCGCCGUCACUAGCCCUGGGAUUCUCCCCAGGACAGGUUUCCCUUCAGCUGCUCUAAGCCUUCGCCCUUGUCCUUGUCCAACCACGGACGUGGCCAUCCACGGAGCCCUCUACGUGCCUCAGAGCAAGUGUGCUUCGGCUGCUCAGGUGUGUGUCUAGAGACUGAUAAAAACAGGGCUCGUGAGUGGGUGCGGGAGGCCCCUGUGGUCUCUGUUCACACACGUACCUACCCUCAAGGCCAUGUCUACACUGGCCUAUUUCAGAGAACCGCCCUGUGCAUCAUGGGAUGCUUUGCCCCACAUCACGGCCCAGCUUGGUUCAGUCCUGGAGCCCUGUGUCCUGAAGCCAUGACCAACCCCAGGCCUGGCCCACCUUCUUCCUCAGUCUCCUCUCCCUCAAGCCCUCCACAGGACCCAUAAACCUUCCAUCUCCAUGUAAUCCUUUUGUGUGAUCCUUCUUCCAUACCUUUGCCCAUGCUGUUCACUCUGCUUGUACCAGCAAGGUUCCUUCCUCCCCAGAUCUGCCCUUUCUAGACCCAUCUCAGAUUCCACCCUUUCUAGAAAGACUUCAGGAAGUAUUUGAGAAGGGCCUGAAGAUGCUGUGGUUGCAUAGAGGAGGAUAUGAAUCACCUCGCUUAGAGGUAUCGGGGAGGGCUCCAUGGAGGUGGUGCCCUCAGGCCAAGGAAGAGAAGAUAUCUUCCGGGCAGAAGGGAGAGUUUGACGGGCUGGUUUGAUGUCAGACAGACCACAGGAUGACUCAAGGUCCUCUUUCCUCUUCUUAAACAUUAGUUGCAGCAAGUCCCACCAUCUGCCUGAGUCUGUUUUCAUCUCCACAAUGGAGGUGGUGAUGCCCAGCACACGGAGCUGUGAUGAGGAUUUAAUGGGGAAUCCAGAGCAUUUAUGGAAGUGCCAGGAGGCCAAGAUUCUGCAUAGUGAGAAGGGCUGAAUAUCACCUGUGAGCCUGCCCCUGCUCCCAAGAACACCCUUUGGACACCUGUGGGCUCUGCAAGGUUGGUGUAACCCCUACAGAUGAGGAAACCAGAGACAGAGAAGUGAAGUAACUCAUGCAGGUGACGGCAGAGGGCAGAGUCAGGACUUGAACCUGGAGAGCCUGGCUCUAAAGCCCAAGCUGGAAUCUCGAUACUCUACACCUCGAUAAGUUUUUGGGAAAUGACUGACUAAACAGAUGAACGCGUUUGCCCCCCCGCCGCCCCAGAGCCCCCUUAAAGCCUACAUGUGGCAGUUUGGGCCCAUUUCCUUGGCUUCCCUCCCUGGAGGGGCACCCACUGCCAGUGUCCCUGGUGAGUGUUUGCCUGUGGGGGUACAAGUGAGGGUUCAGCAAAGGUGACCUGGUGUGAGGGGGGGGUGCCCCAGGGGGUGCAGAGGAGGGCCUCAUGAGGCAGAUUCAGAAUGAAGGUUCUGGCCCCCAGUGGAACCGUGCAUGGGCAAGGGGUCCUCAGGGCCAUUGGCCCAUAAUUGUCAGACGGGGAAACUGAGGCCCAGAGAGAGGAAGGGACUUGUCCUUAGUUACACAGAGUGUCUGGAUCACAGCUCUUAGGUCUCAGCUUCCCCAUUUGUCACACAGGGAGAAUAAAUCCCCCUUGUCCUGCCUGGGGGUAGACCCCAGGGGGCCCCUGUGCCCUCUCACACCUUCCAUUCCAGCUUCUAGAAUUCCACCAUCCAUGCACCAGCCCUGAGGGUAGGCGUUGCCCUCUUCUCACCUCCUGCUCACGCCUCUACUGCAGGAUGGGAACCAAAUGCCUCUCCACCCUUUUCCCACACCCCUUCUCUCCACAGUGAACUGAGGGGAGUUUCUGAUCCCUUAGCUCAAAGUCAGAGAAACUGAGAGGGGAGGGCUGGGUGGGAGCCGUGGGAAUGUCAUGCACAAGCAGUCGGACUCUCCAGGGGUCUGGAUCUCUCCCUUGCUGCCUUGAAGGCCCCUGCACAGGCUGUGGCACUGGCUGAGUACAGGUGCCUGAAGGCAGAGGCAUGGAUGGGAUGCUUCAUUCUCAGCCUGUUUUUGCCAGUGAAGACAAAAGGGAAGUCAUCUUCCGUUGGUCUAUGGGGACCCUGAGGUAGUAGGAGCUCGGUGAUAAUUCUAGGGACCACCCUGGGUUGUCAGGUGGGGGAGACAGAGAAGCCCACAUAGGAGGCACCAAAUGCAACUCACUCGUGCCCUUUUACUCAUGAGAGAACACGGAUCCAGAGAUGUCAAGUGACUCAGACACAGUCUCACAGCACACAGGCGGCAGAGGCAGGUAGGGGACUGGGCUUCCCUGGCAGCAGUCCCCAAGCCUGCCUGAGAGGCACAUCAGAAUCGCUUUAGGGGAUUUGCAAAACCACACCUGCCCAGGCCCAAACCCUAGAGAUUCUGAUUCCGCAGUCUGAGGUAGGAAUGGAGAAUCCUCCACAGCCUGAGGUAGGAACUGGGAAUCCAGUGUUUAAAACUCUCUAGGGGCGGUGAUUUCAGAAAACCUGCUGGCUCCAUCACACUUUGCUCAGGGACUGAGAUGGGAUGGCAUUUGGAAGACACAGGUAGGAGGAAGAGGAGGCAGUGGGGGGCACAGGGAGACCCUUCCCCUUCUGGUAAAAGCCUGUGGACGAGAGAACAGCCCGAGUAAGAUUCUGAGAACCCGAGACCCGGAUGGACCUGGAGUUUUUGUCUUGCGUAUAAUUUAGGGGGUCUGUGACACUGGGCUGGAGAUAACCGUGUCUUUCCUUUCCCUGGCCUCUAGCUGAAAUUUAGCAUCAUAUUCCAUGGCGAUUUUCCACCAGUGGAAAUCACAGGUGUUCUCUGGUAUCACAGCGGGGUCAGGGAUGACCUGAAAUAUUGUUCAUGCUCAUCACAACUGCAUGGCCCACCGCGGGGUCUUGUCACUCAGUGAGUUCUUGAAGAGGCACAGACAAAUGGAGUUCAACAAAUGGAAAACAACUGCCUUUAAUUAGCUCCGAGGACUACAAAGGGAACAACGUUAUAAUAGCAGCAACUCCAAGGAAGCAGCCACAGCUCUCAGCUCUCAGACCUGGGGCUGCCGCUCAUCAUCAGCUACAGCUAGGUUUGAUGGGAGUGCCCCCAUUUCAGGGGACAGCAGGCCCCCUUCACUCCCCGACUCAGUCCCCAUCUGCAGCAGCACAGCCUUCCUUGGCCUCACCAGGGAAGAAGAACAGGCCCCGCUCUCAGACAAGCCUUCCCAGAAGCCUGAGGACUCAAACACCCAAAUGUGUCUGGGUCCCUGCCCCGAGCCGGCCACCCAGGCAGCAGCCCUGAAUCACUCGGUCAGCCAGCGGCAGGGCAGGCCAAUGGGCUGGAGGGUAGGCAGGCAGGCAGACCCACCUCUGCAUCUCUGCUGACUGCCUCGGCUGAGGAAAGGCAGCACCAGCCCCCAACCCUGAAGUUCUAGAUCUCAUGCAGCCUCUCUGUUCUGGAACCAUCCAGAGGCACUGCCCUUAUACAUGGUCCACCCCCAGGCUCAGACAAUGAGAAUUCCACAAGCAGAGGGGACUCUAUUUGGGGCACAGAGAGGUUAAGUAACUCCCCUCCUAAGGUCUCUCAGCAAGGAAGCCACUGAGCCGUGGGACUUGAGCUCAGGGACUCUUGAUCCCCAGUCUCAGGUGUCACAGCCCCAUCUGGGCUCCUGCUAGGGAGGAGGAAGGCAGCAGGGGGUGUCUGAGGCCAGGGUGCAUCAGCCCUAAAUGCCAGACAGAGGCAGGAGAAGUCUCCCCAUGAGUCCCAGCCCCAUUAGAGGCUCCAGGUCGGGGAUCCCAGACCCCCUAUCCUUGCUGGGAGACACAACCCAGAACUCUGCAUCCCUGCAGCCACCAAAAAAGGCAAAAGCUGCCCAGAAACACUUUCUCCUCUUCCGUGGCCAAAUCCACGAACUUUCUCGAGGUCUGUCCCCCUGCCCCGUGCAGGUCCAGCUUCAGUGCAGCCCAGCUCUGUGCAGUUUUCCACAAAAGCCUGUGGCUUCCUUCUCCUCCCUCUGCUUCUGAUACCCCAGGAGUUACACACAAAAUGUUGGCGGUGGUCUCCAGGAAGACCCCUGCAUCCCACAGCUCUCCCCAGAAGUUGCCAGCAGUGACCUCCUGAGCCCAGGUGGGGAGUCCCAGGCAGGACAGGGGCUGGGGCUGCAGGCCCUGGGGCCCUGUUAGUGAAGCAGCAAGCCGAGGGUCCCUGAGAGUUUCCCUUGGCCCCUCUGAGGGCUGCCCUUUGAGGUCUUGAGGUCUUGGAGUAUCCAUCGCCCCCACGGCUUACUGUCCCCACCAGCGGAGGAUGAAAGUGCCACAGCGAUGUUCCACGCCAAGAGACCACAGAGACCACCAACCCCUCUUCCCACCUCAGGCUUUCAGAGGCCAGCGGAUUUAGGCGGACAGGCUGUGCGCUUGAGGGCAGCCAGGGCGGUCAGUGGAGGGACGUGGUCCGGGGCCUGGCCACAGCUCCCCACCCAGGGCCCUGGGCUAUUGUUACUCACCGCGGAUGAAGGUCGGCGAGUAGGUCGGGAAGGAGUCGAAGAUGCUGUUCGAUGCCAUGCCCCGCUCUGAAGAAGGCGAGAAUUUUCAGCCCUUCAGGGGGUUGGGUUGGGAUUCACUUGGUUGGCUGUUGUUUUAUUUUUUUUUCCUCUAGCUACUUUUGAAAAUAAAAGGGGGGGGUGUUGCUUUUUGUUGUUU